rnacentral:rRNA from 3 species
CGAACGGGUGAGUAACACGUGGGCAAUCUGCCCUGCACUCUGGGACAAGCCCUGGAAACGGGGUCUAAUACCGGAUACUGACCCUCGCAGGCAUCUGCGAGGUUCGAAAGCUCCGGCGGUGCAGGAUGAGCCCGCGGCCUAUCAGCUUGUUGGUGAGGUAAUGGCUCACCAAGGCGACGACGGGUAGCCGGCCUGAGAGGGCGACCGGCCACACUGGGACUGAGACACGGCCCAGACUCCUACGGGAGGCAGCAGUGGGGAAUAUUGCACAAUGGGCGAAAGCCUGAUGCAGCGACGCCGCGUGAGGGAUGACGGCCUUCGGGUUGUAAACCUCUUUCAGCAGGGAAGAAGCGAAAGUGACGGUACCUG